ACCAGCCUACCCUUCCAAACUUGGGUCUUUAAGGCCCUGCCCAACCAGCCUACCCUUCCAAACUUGGGUCUUUAAGGCCCUGCACAACCAGCCUACCCUUCCAAACUUGGGUCUUUAAGGCCCUGCACAACCAGUCUUCUCUUCCAAACUUAGGUCCUUAAGGCCCUGCACAACCAGUCUUCUCUUCCAAACUUAGGUCUUUAAGGCCCUGCACAACCAGCCUGCUCUUCCAAACUUAGGUCUUUAAGGCCCUGCACAACCAGUCUUCUCUUCCAAACUUAGGUCCUUAAGGCCCUGCACAACCAGUCUUCUCUUCCAAACUUAGGUCCUUAAGGCCCUGCACAACCAGUCUUCUCUUCCAAACUUAGGUCUUUAAGGCCCUGCACAACCAGCCUGCUCUUCCAAACUUAGGUCCUUAAGGCCCUGCACAACCAGUCUUCUCUUCCAAACUUAGGUCUUUAAGGCCCUGCACAACCAGUCUUCUCUUCCAAACUUAGGUCUUUAAGGCCCUGCACAACCAGCCUGCUCUUCCAAACUUAGGUCCUUAAGGCCCUGCACAACCAGUCUUCUCUUCCAAACUUAGGUCUUUAAGGCCCUGCCCAACCAGCCUACCCUUCCAAACUUAGGUCUUUAAGGCCCUGCACAACCAGUCUUCUCUUCCAAACUUAGGUCUUUAAGGCCCUGCACAACCUGGCCCUGGCCUACCCUUCCAAACUUGGGUCCUUAAGGCCCUGCACAACCUGGCCCCAGCCUACUCUUCCAAAUUCGGUCCUUAAGGACCUGCACAACCAGCCUACCUUUCCAAACUUAGGUCUUUAAGGCCCUGCACAACCAGCCUACCCUUCCAAACUUAGGUCUUUAAGGCCCUGCACAACCAGCCUGCUCUUCCAAACUUAGGUCCUUAAGGCCCUGCACAACCAGUCUUCUCUUCCAAACUUAGGUCUUUAAGGCCCUGCACAACCUGGCCCUGGCCUACCCUUCCAAACUUGGGUCCUUAAGGCCCUGCACAACCAGUCUUCUCUUCCAAACUUUGGCCCUUAAGGCCCUGCACAACCAGCCUACCCUUCCAAACUUUGGUCUUUAAGGCCCUGCACAACCAGCCUACCCUUCCAAACUUGGGUCUUUAAGGCCCUGCACAACCAGCCUACCCUUCCAAACUUGGGUCUUUAAGGCCCUGCACAACCAGUCUUCUCUUCCA